GGUUGACCUCGGAUCAGGUAGGAAUACCCGCUGAACUUAAGCAUAUCAAUAAGCGGAGGAAAAGAAACCAACAGGGAUUGCCUCAGUAACGGCGAGUGAAGCGGCAACAGCUCAAAUUUGAAAUCUGGCCUUGUGCCCGAGUUGUAAUUUGUAGAGGAUGCUUUCGGCGCGGCGCCUCCCGAGUGCCCUGGAACGGGACGCCACAGAGGGUGAGAGCCCCGUAUGGUUGGACGCCUAGCCUUUGUAAAGCUCCUUCGACGAGUCGAGUAGUUUGGGAAUGCUGCUCAAAACGGGAGGUAAAUUCCUUCUAAAGCUAAAUACCGGCCAGAGACCGAUAGCGCACAAGUAGAGUGAUCGAAAGAUGAAAAGCACUUUGAAAAGAGGGUUAAACAGCACGUGAAAUUGUUGAAAGGGAAGCGCUUGUGGCCAGACUUGGGCCUCGGGGAUCAGCUGGCGUUCUCGCCAGUGCACUCCGCGGGGCUCAGGCCAGCAUCGGUUUUCCGAGGGGGAUAAAAGCUCCGGGAACGUAGCUCCUUCGGGAGUGUUAUAGCCCGCUGCAGAAUACCCCUUGGGGGACCGAGGUACGCGCUCCGCAAGGAUGCUGGCGUAAUGGUCAUCAGCGGCCCGUCUUGAAACACGGACCAAGGAGUCAAGCAUUAGGGCGAGUGUUUGGGUGUCAAACCCGCACGCGAAAUGAAAGUGAACGUAGGUGAGAGCUUCGGCGCAUCAUCGACCGAUCCUGAUGUAUUCGGAUGGAUUUGAGUAGGAGCCUUACCGCUUGGACCCGAAAGAUGGUGAACUAUGCCUGUAUAGGGUGAAGCCAGAGGAAACUCUGGUGGAGGCUCGCAGCGGUUCUGACGUGCAAAUCGAUCGUCAAAUAUGGGCAUGGGGGCGAAAGACUAAUCGAACUAUUACCUACUAGGUAGUUAAGAGGAUCUGCCGAGAGGCUGGAUCCUAGUUCUUUACGGCGAGAGCUACACCGCCAAAUUGCCGGGGACUACCUGUUUGAUACCCAAGUUACCGCAGCCGAGCUGAAAAGCUCGGUGCGCACCAGGCUAAUCACCUGCGGGAUGGUAAUAACACUUGGGCUAGGGUUGACCCGCAGCCAACUCCGCAUCUAAGGAGGCAGUUCACAGACUAAAUGGUGGUGGGUUCGGCCCCUACUCUGCGUAGGAGGCUGGGCUUAAGAUAUAGUCGAAACCCCUGAGAAAUCAGCGGGAGCGAGGUCCUACCCGACCUCGCAGGAAUGCUAGUAGCUGGUUACCGCCGAAGUUUCCCUCAGGAUAGCAGUGUUGUUUUCAGUUUUAUGAGGUAAAGCGAAUGAUUAGGGACUCGGGGGCGCUAUUUAGCCUUCAUCCAUUCUCAAACUUUAAAUAUGUAAGAAGCCCUUGUUACUUAGCUGAACGUGGGCCUUCGAAUGUAUCAACACUAGUGGGCCAUUUUUGGUAA
rnacentral:rRNA from 1 species